CCUACGGGAGGCAGCAGUGGGGAAUCUUAGACAAUGGGGGAAACCCUGAUCUAGCCAUGCCGCGUGAGUGAUGAAGGCCCUAGGGUCGUAAAGCUCUUUCAGCUGUGAAGAUAAUGACGGUAGCAGCAGAAGAAACCCCGGCUAACUCCGUGCCAGCAGCCGCGGUAAUACGGAGGGGGUUAGCGUUGUUCGGAAUUACUGGGCGUAAAGCGCGCGUAGGCGGACUAGUCAGUCAGAGGUGAAAUCCCGGGGCUCAACCCCGGAACUGCCUUUGAUACUGCUAGUCUUGAGUUCGAGAGAGGUGAGUGGAAUUCCGAGUGUAGAGGAGAAAUUCGUAGAUAUUCGGAGGAACACCAGUGGCGAAGGCGGCUCACUGGCUCGAUACUGACGCUGAGGUGCGAAAGUGUGGGGAGCAAACAGGAUUAGAUACCCUGGUAGUCCACACCGUAAACGAUGAAUGCCAGACGUCGGGCAGUAUACUGUUCGGUGUCACACCUAACGGAUUAAGCAUUCCGCCUGGGGAGUACGGUCGCAAGAUUAAAACUCAAAUGAAUUGACGGA
rnacentral:rRNA from 1 species